rnacentral:rRNA from 1 species
CCCUUAGAUGUCCUGGGCCGCACGCGUGCUACACUGAUACGUACAAAAAGUUUCCUUUCCCGAAAGGUGACGGGUAAUCAGUAAUACGUAUCGUGAUUGGGAUUGAACUUUGCAAUUGUGGUUCAUGAACGAGGAAUUCCUAGUAAGCGCAAGUCAUUAGCUUGCGUUGAUUAAGUCCCUGCCCUUUGUACACACCGCCCGUCGCUCCUACCGAUUUCGAGUGGUCCGGUGAGCCUUUUGGACGAGGGAGUUUACUCUCUUGAAAAUCAAGCAAACCUUAUCACUUAGAGGAAGGAAAAGUCGUAACA